UUGGUUAAGUUAGAAAGGGCGCACGGUGGAUGCCUUGGCACUAGGAGCCGAAGAAGGACGGGACUAACACCGAUAUGCUUUGGGGAGCUGUACGUAAGCGUUGAUCCAGAGAUUUCCGAAUGGGGGAACCCACUAUCUUUAGUCGGAUAGUAUCCUUACGUGAAUACAUAGCGUGAGGAAGGCAGACCCAGGGAACUGAAACAUCUAAGUACCUGGAGGAAGAGAAAGAAAAAUCGAUUUCCUGAGUAGCGGCGAGCGAAACGGAAAGAGCCCAAACCAAGAAGCUUGCUUCUUGGGGUUGUAGGACACUCUAUACGGAGUUACAAAAGAAAGUUAUAAAUGAAGCGGUCUGGAAAGGCCCGCCAAAGACGGUAACAGCCCGGUAGUUGAAAUGGCUUUCCCUCCAGAGUGGAUCCUGAGUACGGCGGAACACGUGAAAUUCCGUCGGAAUCCGGGAGGACCAUCUCCCAAGGCUAAAUACUCCCUAGUGACCGAUAGUGAACCAGUACCGUGAGGGAAAGGUGAAAAGCACCCCGGAAGGGGAGUGAAACAGUUCCUGAAACCGUGUGCCUACAAGUAGUUAGAGCCCGUUAAUGGGUGAUAGCGUGCCUUUUGUAGAAUGAACCGGCGAGUUACGAUUUGUUGCAAGGUUAAGCGGAAAAAGCGGAGCCGUAGCGAAAGCGAGUCUGAAUAGGGCGCAUAAGUAACAGGUCGUAGACCCGAAACCAGGUGAUCUACCCAUGUCCAGGAUGAAGGUAAGGUAAUACUUACUGGAGGUCCGAACCCACGCACGUUGAAAAGUGCGGGGAUGAGGUGUGGGUAGCGGAGAAAUUCCAAUCGAACUUGGAGAUAGCUGGUUCUCUCCGAAAUAGCUUUAGGGCUAGCCUCGAGGUAAAGAGUCAUGGAGGUAGAGCACUGUUUGGACUAGGGGC
rnacentral:rRNA from 1 species